GACGAACGCUGGCGGCGUGCUUAACACAUGCAAGUCGAACGAAAAUACCAAGCUUGCUUGGUUGAUUAGUGGCGAACGGAUGAGUAACACGUGAGUAACCUGCCCCUUACUUUCCUGGAUAACUGCUCGAAAGGGUAGCUAAUACGGGAUAUUCUGACCAGCCUGCAUGGGAUGGUUUGGAAAGGUUGUUUUUCUGGUAAGGGAUGGGCUCGCGGCCUAUCAGCUUGUUGGUGGGGUGAUGGCCUACCAAGGCUUUGACGGGUAGCCGGCCUGGGAGGGUGGACGGUCACACUGGGACUGAGAUACGGCCCAGACUCCUACGGGAGGCAGCAGUGGGGAAUAUUGCACAAUGGGCGCAAGCCUGAUGCAGCGACGCCGCGUGAGGGAUGAAGGCCUUCGGGUUGUAAACCUCUUUCGUCAGGGAACAAGGCACUGCUUUUUUGGUGGUGUUGAGGGUACCUGGAUAAGAAGCGCCGGCUAACUACGUG
rnacentral:rRNA from 1 species